rnacentral:rRNA from 1 species
CGACGGAGACGGAGCUGGAAGGGACAGUUUACUGUAACGGAAAGAUCUGUCUUAGUGGCGGACGGGUGAGUAACGCGUGGGCAACCUGCCCUGUACCGGGGGAUAACACUUAGAAAUAGGUGCUAAUACCGCAUAAUAGGGAAUACCGCAUGGUAAUCCUUUGAAAACUCCGGUGGUACAGGAUGGGCCCGCGUCUGAUUAGCCAGUUGGCGGGGUAACGGCCCACCAAAGCGACGAUCAGCAGCCGGCCUGAGAGGGUGGACGGCCACACUGGGACUGAGACACGGCCCAGACUCCUACGGGAGGCAGCAGUGGGGAAUAUUGCACAAUGGGGGGAACCCUGAUGCAGCGACGCCGCGUGAGUGAAGAAGUAUUUCGGUAUGUAAAGCUCUGUCAGCAGGGAAGAAGAAAGACGGUACCUGACCAAGAAGCCCCGGCUAACUACGUGCCAGCAGCCGCGGUAAUACGUAGGGGGCAAGCGUUAUCCGGAUUUACUGGGUGUAAAGGGAGCGUAGACGGCAGGGCAAGUCUGGAGUGAAAGGCAGGGGCCCAACCCCUGGACUGCUCUGGAAACUGUCCGGCUGGAGUGCAGGAGAGGUAAGUGGAAUUCCUAGUGUAGCGGUGAAAUGCGUAGAUAUUAGGAGGAACACCAGUGGCGAAGGCGGCUUACUGGACUGUAACUGACGUUGAGGCUCGAAAGCGUGGGGAGCAAACAGGAUUAGAUACCCUG